ACUAUGGAUCCUCCAAAAAAUGAAUUUUGGAUCCAUCACCAAGCUUAAAAGAGAGACACUUCCAAAAAGCAUUGAGAUGUUUACACACAUCCUUCUAAAUUGGAGAUAUUUUCUUAGGAUUUCUCCUUGACAUCAAGCCAAAUGUUUUCUUCUUGUAAUAGGCAUUUCUGAUUUGCUUCCACCAUGGGAAGGUAGAUCCAACAGUAAAUUUCUUAGCCCAUUUGGUCA
rnacentral:lncRNA from 1 species